CAGCACUCUGGGAGGCACUGCUGGAACGGCUCCCUGGGCUUGGGCUGAGGCUGUGGUCCUCAGGUCUUCCUCCCAAAGCCCAAAAGCCUGGCACCACCCCAGCCUCGGGAGCUGCCCCUGUUCCAGCUUUACUUCCCCCUCCAGGCACACAGGAUUGGCCCAUUGAUUGCAGAUUACCAUCACUCUGUAAGUAGUGAGAAGGAGUUUGGACAUCCUGGCGCUGGCUUUUCCAGCCUGGUUAUCAAGAUGAGCUAAUGGAAGUGACACUUGGAAUUAUCAAAUGCAAUCAUGGCAUUAAUUUUCUCCUGCUUAAAUUCCAGCAUCUUUUCUCUUCUGUGGAUGCUUAGCUAGAGGGUGACAUGUAAUUGGAUGCAACCAGACAGUUAUCCUAAAUGGGCAAUAAGAAACACAGGAAUCUAUUGCCUUUUAUUCCAAUAAGCAUGCGUGGGAUUGUUAUAUGGAAGCAGCUAACUCAUUGCUAAUGGAAAUUUAUUUUGAGUUAUGGGUGGCAGACAGUGAGACGUGUCCAACAAAUACCAACUCUGGAACAGUCCCUGGUUUUGAAGGUGAAAACUAUCCAAAAUGACACGUCUUUUGCUUAAUCAUAGGCUUUGCUCCUUAAGCACAAAGUGCUUGCCAUUGCACUGCCAGAGAUGCUGAUUGCUCUCCCUAUCCAGUUCUGCACUCCCUAUCCAGAAGCUGGUGUCAUCCUGGGGCUGAACCUUCCCCUGUAGGCAGAUGUCUAUGAAGCAGAAAGUCAUGAAGUCUGUGCAGACAAAGGGAUCUAUGCUGGUCCUGGGUGAGAUCACAUAGUUCCAGUGUGUAGAUAUGGUUGUCCAGGUAUGUGCAUAUAAAAUAAUACGAAUGCAUUACAAUGCAAAAUAAAAUAGACGUGCAGCAUAACACAGAGUGAAUGUUCCUACUUAUAUCCCAGGUUUUGUGUUACAUUACAGAUAUCAGAGCUGAGGCAAAGGGUUUGGUUUUAGUUCAAAAUAAUACUUGGGAAAAUGGAAAGCUCUCGGUUUUUAUUGUUGCUUCAUAAUUAGCUCCAGUGAGGGAAUCUAAUUACAAAUGUUCCAUGCUGCCCUAUGGCAAAACGUCAAAGGAAAGGGAAGGAUGGCCAAGCUUAAGCAACUCAGUGGGAACCCACCAUCUCUGUGGGCUCAGCAUAAAGGCAUGGCCUGGGGCUGUACAGGGCUGUAUGGGCUGGGUCACAGACCUUGUGCUUUGCUUGUACUCAUACACACUGCAUUGUGGCCUUCAACAAGCGUGGGUCAGAGGGCCAUCACCCUGCCCAGGAGGGAGGUGGCUGAAGGCCAUGCACACAGCAGAAGUAAAGCAAGCAGAAGAUCAAGCCCCAGAAAUGGUCAAAUCCACUCCGGGAGAGAAAUCAAAGGAUGCACAGUGCUCUCCCUGCCUGCAGAGACUCCCAGCUCUGUGCUGAUUGCAGGCAUCACCCGAAGCCCUCAUUCAUGCAAACCAUCCAUCAGCUGAUGGGGGGUCUGCACAGAGCUCACCCCCCAGCCCCACACCUCUGGAGCACCACAAAAUCCUUCUUCAUCUACAGCUGAGCAGCGUGGAGGCAGCUGGUGGAAGGUAAUACCCCAGUGCUGGGGGAUUAGCUGGUUGGUAAUGAAUAUGAGCAGAGCAAUAAUCUGCGGAGUGAUUAAUAUGGAUGUGAUUUUUUGGAUUAAUAAGGAUGCAGCAGAGCUGCCUGCUCAGGAAAGAAGUUUGCAAUCAUCAGCUUGGAUGCAGUGACCGUUACCUUAAUGCUGUGAUUAAAUCCAUGUUUAAGACACUUCAUUAAAUUAGAGUGUAAGUGAAUUCUUCUCACCCUCAGCAAGAAAUGCAUUCGG
ensembl:lncRNA